AACGGAGUAAAAAGAGUUGCUAGUUAAAUUAUAUUAAAAUUGAUGCAAUUACGCCAUCUAGAGGCAGGUUGAUUUAGUGUGACAGUGGGAUUCGCGUUGCAUUUACCCAGACUGGAGAUUACGAGAUACUGGAUUGUUGUCCCGAGAUCUAUUUGCUGAACCCACAAUUCCACACUGUCAUACUUUGUUCCAGCAAUAAAGAAACCUGAUCCAAGUGGUUGUCCGUGGUGAUGUGUAGAAGCAACAGUAGAAUGGAGUGACCCGUCACAUUGGUGCCGUGACUCAUCGAUUUGAAGUUGGAUCUUCACCUCGACCCGGGACCAUUCUACUGGACGGCUUCGUCACACUGUCAGGUGGACAGCGUAUCGCUUCACACAUUAGUGUAGGCCUCAGUUGUUUUUAUUUACUUUUCUUUGCUAGCCCUUUUCUGACUAUAUUUCAUGCAGUUGUUACUGAUUGACUGAUACUGUGUUACUGAUUGUUUGAUAUUGCAUGAUACUCCAAUAUGAGCUACAGGCGAGGGUAUAUCAGUACGCCUUUUGGUGAAAGCAUUGGUAGAGGGAGGGGGAUUCCAAUAGUUUUGGAUUUUGAUAGUCCUGUUCAGGGAGGUGACGUUCAUGUGGUGGGGGAUAGUCAGAUUGCCGCAGCGGCCCCUAUAGCUAGUGGGGUCGGGUUUUCUUCCCAGAAUCACCACACUGAGCAUGCACCAAACACACAGGU